rnacentral:rRNA from 1 species
UGGAAAGAUUUUUCGGUUGGGGAUGGGCUCGCGGCCUAUCAGCUUGUUGGUGAGGUAAUGGCUCACCAAGGCGUCGACGGGUAGCCGGCCUGAGAGGGUGACCGGCCACACUGGGACUGAGACACGGCCCAGACUCCUACGGGAGGCAGCAGUGGGGAAUAUUGCACAAUGGGCGGAAGCCUGAUGCAGCAACGCCGCGUGAGGGAUGACGGCCUUCGGGUUGUAAACCUCUUUUAGCAGGGAAGAAGCGAGAGUGACGGUACCUGCAGAAAAAGCGCCGGCUAACUACGUGCCAGCAGCCGCGGUAAUACGUAGGGCGCAAGCGUUAUCCGGAAUUAUUGGGCGUAAAGAGCUCGUAGGCGGUCUGUCGCGUCUGCUGUGAAAUCCCGAGGCUCAACCUCGGGCUUGCAGUGGGUACGGGCAGACUAGAGUGCGGUAGGGGAGAUUGGAAUUCCUGGUGUAGCGGUGGAAUGCGCAGAUAUCAGGAGGAACACCGAUGGCGAAGGCAGAUCUCUGGGCCGUAACUGACGCUGAGGAGCGAAAGGGUGGGGAGCAAACAGGCUUAGAUACCCUGGUAGUCCACCCCGUAAACGUUGGGAACUAGUUGUGGGGUCCUUUCCACGGAUUCCGUGACGCAGCUAACGCAUUAAGUUCCCCGCCUGGGGAGUACGGCCGCAAGGCUAAAACUCAAAGGAAUUGACGGGGACCCGCACAAGCGGCGGAACAUGCGGAUUAAUUCGAUGCAACGCGAAGAACCUUACCAAGGCUUGACAUACAC